AAGUUCAGGGCGGAGUUACAGUGCUGCUCAGAUUUAAAUCAACCAAUUGAUAUAAGCCAGGAUUUCCUCUUCUUCGCGCAUGCUUUACGUGUUUGACAAUGGUUUUAUCUCCUGUACUUUCAGUAAUUAAGACACAAAACGAUUAUGAACCUAUUUUAAGAAAAAAGUAUGACUAUUAUGGGUUGAUGAGACUGUGAGACCAUUACUGCCAUUCCUCCAGAAAACAAAGCCACAGGAUAUUUAAAGCCAUCAAUCACACAACAAAAGCCAUUGGAGCUCGCCAAAGUAAGGUCAUAGUCCUCCACAGUGCUACAAGCCAGCGGCAAGAUCCACUGAGUUGACAAAUGUGACGGUCACUGUUGCUGUUUCAAAGAGGCCAACAGAAAGACGUCGAAGGCAGUUUACAAACACACCCAGGCUCUCGAGGAAAAGUCACUGGCUGCCCUGAAAAUACAGAGGUGUACAGGUGCUAUGUCACUCUCUAAGGGCCCUGACAACCCCUGGAGCCCCCAGUUUUCUGCACUAUCACUGUAAUAAAAGCUUGUCUGUCUUUUUGCCGCUUAAGCAUUUGAAGAGCCAUUUCUCAUUAAAUGGAGAGUGUGACUGUUGUGUGACUCCAUUAUUUUGUCCCUGGAUAAAACCGAUCAUGCCAUUUCUGAGGUUGUAAAAGAUUACACACACGCAGUUCAAGACUGCAUGUGAGCUUUCCUCAUCAUUGCAUCUUAUUUUGUCAUUCAAAUUCUAUGCACUACAUAAGAUAUCAUGUACUACUGUUAUUCAUUUUUAUUGAUCUUGAUCUUUCUGUAAUGUGUAAGCUAUUUGCUUGUAUUUUUUUGUGCUGUAUUGUGGAAGGUGAAGUGCGUUCUUUUUAUUAUUAAUGUACACACUUUCAUAUUUAUUGCAUAAAUAAACCUUGUUCUGACAUCA